GACGAACGCUGGCGGCGUGCUUAACACAUGCAAGUCGAACGGUGAAGCGCCUUCCUUUUUGGUGGGUGUGGAUGAGUGGCGAACGGGUGAGUAACACGUGAGUAACCUGCCCCCUUCUUCUGGAUAACCGCAUGAAAGUGUGGCUAAUACGGGAUAUUCUGGGUCUGUCGCAUGAUGGGUCUGGGAAAGACAUUGUUUCGGUGGGGGAUGGGCUCGCGGCCUAUCAGCUUGUUGGUGGGGUGAUGGCCUACCAAGGCGGUGACGGGUAGCCGGCCUGGGAGGGUGGACGGCCACACUGGGACUGAGACACGGCCCAGACUCCUACGGGAGGCAGCAGUGGGGAAUAGUGCACAAUGGGCGCAAGCCUGAUGCAGCGACGCCGCGUGAGGGAUGGAGGCCUGCGGGUUGUGAACCUCUUUCGCCAGUGAAGCAGGCCUGCCUCGUUUGUGGGUGGGUUGACGGUAGCUGGAUAAGAAGCGCCGGCUAACUACGUG
rnacentral:rRNA from 1 species